rnacentral:tRNA from 1 species
CUUAAGAAAUGAGAGUCAUGUACAGUUUCGGCCUGUAGAGUUGGAGCAUAGUCUUCCUUAGGUUA